rnacentral:misc_RNA from 1 species
AGAAAAUGAGUAUGUAUAACCUCCACGGGGAUAUUUUAGAUGACGAUGAACUGUUUACGUUAGAGAGAUUUGUGCACAAAAAUAUAAAUGAAAUUCUCGACGCCAUGGCAGGGACUCAACAACAUAGAUUCGUCAAUGUCGUGCCCAACGUUAAAAUUAAGAAGGAGGUCUUAUCCUCGGAUGAUGAGAACUGUGUGUCCUGUCGAAUUUGCAACAAGAGUUUCGCCAGCGACAUGGCGCUGCGGAACCACGCGCGAAUGGAGCACAUAGACGCCUACGCCACCGGAGAUCCGUCAUCGUGGACGCAGCCUGAGGUCAAGAAACCGUCUAAGGAGAGUCAAGAGCAGAUGAUAAAGCUUAAAACUGAGAAGAUAAUUUCAUCCAUGGCACCAGCUGACCUGAUGACCCUCGCUUCAGAUGAUGUCAGCUACAUCAUCAUCAAGGCGGAGAAUCCUCCAGAGAGCCAGCCGAGGAAGAGAAAGUCGGAGACAGAGAAGGUGGAGAAGGUACCAGCGAAGAAAGAUAGGGAAAAGGAAAAAGAAGUUAGACCUAUCACCGGGCCUUUCGAGUGUCUGCAGCCGUCGACCCUGGUGGCUGACGGCACGUGCCACCAGAUAUUCUUCUCGUGCUGCGAGUACUCCGCGCACUUCCGGGACGAGCACACGCGGCGCCGCAAGGGCCUCCGCUGCCAGGUCUGCGAGAAACCUCUAGUGGCGUCAUACGAGCCCCUAGCGCCGUAUAGCUGUGUCGUGUGUGGCGCUGGGUUCCAGACCAGCAAGGAGUUGUCUGACCACAAGGCCACCGACCACAUCAAGCUGAAGCCGUUCCAGUGCGGCGUCUGCCUCAAGCGGUUCACGCAACAGGGCGGCGUUCAACAACACAUGCGCAUGCACACGGGCGAUAGGCCAUUCCACUGCACCUUCUGCCCGAAGUCCUUCACACAGAAGUCAGGGCUGGACCAGCACCUGCGCAUACACACGAAAAUGAAGCCGUACCGCUGCGUGAUCUGCUCCAAGAGCUUUUGCCAGUCCGUGCACCUGCGGCAGCAUAUGCGCACGCACACCAACGUGUCGCCCUUCCAGUGCGGCAUCUGCCAGAAGAGAUUCAAACAGAGUUCGCAUCUCAACUACCACCUCAAGAACCACAACCAGGUGAACAUGACGGAGGACCAGAAGACGGAGUACAAGAAACUGAUAUCACUCAUGAACCUCGAAAACAAGAAGGACGUGUACGUCUACGAUGGCAACAAAGUGCGGUUGGAGUACGAGAACCAGGUGGUGCACGAACAAGAGAUAGAAGGUGAACAGAUGGAGAUGGGAGAAGAGGAGAUAGAGCAGGAAGUGGAGGAAGAGGUGGAAACAGUCGAGGCUGAGGUGUUACUGGAGGAGCAAGAGACGAUAGAUGAUGAGGAGCAGAUCCUGGCUGAACAAAGCAUACAAGUCCAAGAGGAAGGAGGCGAAACAUAUAUACUAGGAGACGUCAUAUACGAAUAAACAAACGUAACAAUGGCCCCGAUUCCUGCAGACACCUCCUAAUUUUACUUCAAGUUAUACCUGUCAUUUUCUUAUCCGCCGAAAAGGAAAGGGACGGAUGAUUGACAGCUCUUAAUUUUAGGAAGAAUGAGUAAAUGAAUGAAUAACCCAGGCGAAUCAAAAAGGUACGUCGCUGGUAUGCAAUCCGUUUGACGUGCUGUCUACUUAACUGUGUCGGGUUAUUGACGGAUGUAAAAUUUUUAGACGGUUGGUUUAGAUUUGUGCUUAAAAUUGACGUGUGUUCCAUAAAUUUUAUGCUUGUCGAUUACCCGUCCCUUUCCUUUUCGGCGGAUAAGAAAAUGACAGAUAUAACUUAAAAUAAAAUUAGAUGGUAUUUACAGGAAUUAGCACCAUUAU